CCUACGGGGGGCAGCAGUGAGGAAUAUUGGUCAAUGGACGAGAGUCUGAACCAGCCAAGUAGCGUGAAGGAUGACUGCCCUAUGGGUUGUAAACUUCUUUUAUAUGGGAAUAAAAUGUUCCACGUGUGGGAUUUUGUAUGUACCAUAUGAAUAAGGAUCGGCUAACUCCGUGCCAGCAGCCGCGGUAAUACGGAGGAUCCGAGCGUUAUCCGGAUUUAUUGGGUUUAAAGGGAGCGUAGGUGGAUUGGUAAGUCAGUUGUGAAAGUUUGCGGCUCAACCGUAAAAUUGCAGUUGAAACUGGCAGUCUUGAGUACAGUAGAGGUGGGCGGAAUGCGUGGUGUAGCGGUGAAAUGCUUAGAUAUCACGAAGAACUCCGAUUGCGAAGGCAGUUCACUGGACUGCAACUGACACUGAGGCUCGAAAGUGUGGGUAUCAAACAGGAUUAGAUACCCGGGUAGUC
rnacentral:rRNA from 1 species